GCGUAUAUUAAGUUGCUGCAGUUAAAAAGCUCGUAGUUGAAUUUCGGGACCAUCAUGUCGGUCGUGCCUCGGUACGUACUGGCAUCGUCGGUUUCUCCCUUCUGACGAACCAUGAUGUCAUUUAUUUGGUGUCGUGGGGAAUCAGGACUGUUACUUUGAAAAAAUUAGAGUGUUUAAAGCAGGCUCACGCUUGAAUACAUUAGCAUGGAAUAAUGAAAUAGGACGUUUGAUUCUAUUUUGUUGGUUUCUAGGAUCGACGUAAUGAUUAAUAGGGAUAGUUGGGGGCAUUAGUAUUCAAUUGUCAGAGGUGAAAUUCUUGGAUUUAUUGAAGACUAACUACUGCGAAAGCAUUUGCCAAGGAUGUUUUCAUUAAUCAAGAACGAAAGUUAGGGGAUCGAAGACGAUCAGAUACCGUCGUAGUCUUAACCAUAAA
rnacentral:rRNA from 1 species